rnacentral:rRNA from 1 species
UACGGGGGGAGCAAGCGUUGUUCGGAUUUACUGGGCGUAAAGGGCGCGUAGGCGGCCACCGCAAGUCGACUGUGAAAUCUCCGGGCUUAACCCGGAAAGGUCAGCCGAUACUGCGGGGCUAGAGUGCAGAAGGGGCAACUGGAAUUCUCGGUGUAGCGGUGAAAUGCGUAGAUAUCGAGAGGAACACCUGCAGCGAAGGCGGGUUGCUGGGCUGACACUGACGCUGAGGCGCGAAAGCUAGGGGAGCGAACAGG